CAGGAUGAACGCUGGCGGCGUGGAUGAGGCAUGCAAGUCGAACGGGUUCAGACCCGUGGCAGACGAGGUAGGAACACGUAGGUACGUACCAAGAAGUCAGGGAUAUUCCGGCGAAAGUCGGCGCAAUACUUGAUGGUCUCCCAAAUUCAUAUUUGGGAGUAAAGAUUUAUCGCUUCUUGAACGGCCUGCGGGCUAUCAGCUAGUUGGUACGGUAGCGGCGUACCAAGGCUACGACGGCUAGGGGAGGUGAGAGCCUGACCCCCACCGAUGGAACUGAGACACGGUCCAUACUCCUACGGGAGGCCGCAGUCGAGAAUCUUCCGCAAUGGGCGAAAGCCUGACGGAGCGACGCCGCGUGGUGGAUGAAGUCCUUAGGGACGUAAACACCUUUUAUGAGUGAAGAAGUUUAUUGACAUUAGCUCAUGAAUAAGGGGCUCCCAACUCUGUGCCAGCAGGAGCGGUAAUACAGAGGCCUCAAGCGUUAUCCGGAUUCACUGGGCGUAAAGGGUGCGUAGGCGGUUAUAUUAGUCGGGCGUAAAAUCCUAGGGCUCAACCUUAGGCUCGCGUUCGAAACGGUAUAACUAGGAGUAGUGAGAGGUGAACAGAACUCACGGUGUAGGGGUGAAAUCCGUUGAUAUCGUGGGGAAUACCAAAUGCGAAGGCAGUUCACUGGCGCUUACUCGACGCUGAGGCACGAAAGCGUGGGUAGCGAACGGGAUUAGAUACCCCGGUAGUCCACGCCCUAAACGCUGUCCGCUGGCUUUAGGGAGAAUCGACCCUCCCUGAGGCGAAGGUAACCCGUUAAGCGGACCGCCUGGGUAGUACGAGCGCAAGCUUAAAACUCAAAGGAAUAGACGGGGGCUCGCACAAGCGGUGGAUCAUGAGGCUUAAUUCGUCGAUAAGCGAAAAACCUUACCCAGGCUAGAAACCAUACUGCA
rnacentral:rRNA from 1 species